AACGAACGCUGGCGGCGUGGAUAAGACAUGCAAGUCGAACGGAAUUUUCUCCGGUAGCAAUACUGGAGAAAGUUUAGUGGCGAACGGGUGCGUAACACGUGAGCAACCUACCGUGAAGUGGGGGAUAGCUCGCCGAAAGGCGAAUUAAUACCGCAUGUGGCCAAGGCAGACAUCUUCCUGACACCAAAGCCGGGGCAACCUGGCGCUUCUCGUGGGGCUCGCGGCCUACCCGCUUGUUGGUGAGGUAACGGCUCACCAAGGCUAUGACGGGUAGCUGGUCUGAGAGGACGACCAGCCACACUGGAACUGAGACACGGUCCAGACACCUACGGGUGGCAGCAGUCGAGAAUUUUUCACAAUGGGGGCAACCCUGAUGGAGCGACGCCGCGUGGAGGAUGACGGUUUUCGGAUUGUAAACUCCUGUCAUUAGAGAACAAGGCACAUGGUUUAACUGGCUAUGUGUUGAUAGUAUCUGAAGAGGAAGAGACGGCUAACUCUGUGCCAGCAGCCGCAGUAAUAC
rnacentral:rRNA from 1 species